CCUACGGGUGGCAGCAGUGAGGAAUAUUGGUCAAUGGGCGAGAGCCUGAACCAGCCAAGUCGCGUGAGGGAGUACUGCCCUAUGGGUUGUAAACCUCUUUUGUCGGGGAGCAAAAGCCGGACGUGUCCGGCUGUGAGAGUACCCGAAGAAAAAGCAUCGGCUAACUCCGUGCCAGCAGCCGCGGUAAUACGGAGGAUGCGAGCGUUAUCCGGAUUUAUUGGGUUUAAAGGGUGCGCAGGCGGAUUUUUAAGUCAGCGGUAAAAUCGUGGGGCUCAACCCCAUCCAGCCGUUGAAACUGGGGAUCUAGAGUGUGCGAGAGGUAUGCGGAAUGCGUGGUGUAGCGGUGAAAUGCAUAGAUAGCACGCAGAACCCCGAUUGCGAAGGCAGCAUACCGGUGCACAACUGACGCUCAGGCACGAAAGCGUGGGUAUCGAACAGGAUUAGAUACCCCGGUAGUC
rnacentral:rRNA from 1 species